rnacentral:rRNA from 1 species
AUUGAACGCUGGCGGAAUGCCUUACACAUGCAAGUCGAACGGCAGCAUGGGAGCAAUCCUGGUGGCGAGUGGCGAACGGGUGAGUAAAUACAUCGGAACGUGCCCAAUCGUGGGGAUAACGUAGCGAAAAGCUACGCUAAUACCGCAUACGAUCUACGGAUGAAAGCAGGGGGAUCGCAAGACCUUGCGCGAAAUGGAGCGGCCGAUGGCAGAUUAGGUAGUUGGUGGGGUAAAGGCUCACCAAGCCUUCGAUCUGUAGCUGGUCUGAGAGGACGACCAGCCACACUGGGACUGAGACACGGCCCAGACUCCUACGGGAGGCAGCAGUGGGGAAUUUUGGACAAUGGGCGCAAAGCCUGAUCCAGCCAUUCCGCGUGCAGGAUGAAGGCCUC